rfam:Poecilia formosa, whole genome shotgun sequence.
GUUUCUGUAGUGUAGUGGUUAUCACGUUUGCUUCACACGCAGAAGGUCUCUGGUUCAAAACCAAACAGAAACA